GGGCUCGUAGCUCAGCUUGGUUAGAGCGCUGCUCUGAUAAGGCAGAGGUCGCAGGUUCAAGUCCCGCCGAGCCCA
rnacentral:tRNA from 1 species